rnacentral:tRNA from 1 species
GGUCCGGUGGCGGAGCGGUUACGCGGUGGAUUGCAAAUCCACGUCGACGUCGGUUCAAAUCCGACCCGGACCUCCA